AGGAGCCGGAUGAAGUGAAAAUUUCAAGUCCGGUUCUGAAGACGAGUUACCUUGGUGACGAGGUGGCUUAGUUCAAC
rnacentral:ncRNA from 1 species